AUUGGAUGUUAGAGGAUUCUGCCACCUAGCUUAUUUUAUUUGUAUUUAAGUGAAUAUACCAAACAUUUAUAUGAGCAAACCAAGUUUUACAUAACAUGCUUUUGGUAUGUAUUAUGACUUUUUACAUUUCUACUUGGAUUUCCUCUUCAGAUCUCAGUUUCCACAAAUCUGCAUCCAGGUUCAGGGCCUCUGAUUCUGCACAAAUCAUAUGAGCCAAGUGGAUUGAUUACUAGACAGAUCAGAUCCUUCCCCAGCUAAUAACUCUGCCUUCUGAUUCCAGUCCUCAAAAUAAAUUGCAGCCUGC
rnacentral:lncRNA from 1 species